rnacentral:lncRNA from 1 species
AUAUGAGAUAAAAAAAAUUAAAAACCCAGUAUUUUGGGUAGUGUGGGUCGCGACCAGGAGGCAAGAACAAGGGGGAAACCCUAACCUCAUCAAUUAACAUCAAAAUUCAGCAAGAUUGUGAAGGAUUCUAGUCAUAAAUCGAAUGCUAGUGUCUAAAUACUCUCUAAUCCAAGUGAUCGAAAGAAGAAGGAGCUAGUUCCGGAUCACAAACAAAGGCUCAAGAUCGAGGUAAAGCACAAGUAUAAUUGUCGUUGCGUCGCUCGGAUAUGAACACACCUUGAUCACCCGUGAUACGCUUCCGCCACUUUUGUAGUAACUUUAAAAGUUAAAAGCUUUUGUAAUGUCUAGUUGUGUUUGAAGUUUUUAAACUUUAACUAGAUGUUUGUAAAUAUUUAAGUAUCUAAAACUUGAUGUUUGAAAUGGUAGUUUGAAUUGCUAUGUUCUUUU